AUUGAACGCUGGCGGCAUGCUUUAUACAUGCAAGUCGAACGGAAACAGGACUUCGGGUGCUGUCGAGUGGUGGACGGGGGCGUAAUGCAACGGAAUGUAUCACGAGGUGGGGGGUAACGCAGAACAAGCUGUGAUAAUACCUCAUGCGAUCUGAGGAUGAAAACGGGGGGCCGAAAAGCAAUGUUUCGCCUUGGGCCUUUCGUGUGGACGAGGCCGGAUUGGCUUGUUGGUAUGGUAAAGGCAUACCAAGGCGACGAUCCGUAGCUGGUCUGAGAGGAGGACCAGCCACACUGGGACUGAGACACGGCCCAGACUCCUACGGGAGGCAGCAGUGGGGAAUUUUGCACAAUGGGCGCAAGCCUGAUGGAGCAACGCCGCGUGAGGGAAGAAGGUCUUCGGGUUGUAAACCUCUUUUGGCAGGAACGAAACAGUGUCUGCGAAAAUCGGGACCUAAUGACGGUACCUGCAGAGUAAGCACCGGCUAACUACGUG
rnacentral:rRNA from 1 species